rnacentral:rRNA from 1 species
GACGAACGCUGGCGGCGUGCUUAACACAUGCAAGUCGAACGGAAAGGCCCUGCUUUUGUGGGGUGCUCGAGUGGCGAACGGGUGAGUAACACGUGAGUAACCUGCCCUUGACUUUGGGAUAACUUCAGGAAACUGGGGCUAAUACCGGAUAGGAGCUCCUGCUGCAUGGUGGGGGUUGGAAAGUUUCGGCGGUUGGGGAUGGACUCGCGGCUUAUCAGCUUGUUGGUGGGGUAGUGGCUUACCAAGGCUUUGACGGGUAGCCGGCCUGAGAGGGUGACCGGCCACCUUGGGACCUGGAUACGGCCCAGAACCCUACGGGGGGCAGCAGUGGGGGAUAUUGCACAAUGGGCGGAAGCCUUAUGGAGGAACGGCGCGGGCGGGAUGACGGCCUUCGGGUUGUAAACCGCUUUCGCCUGUGACGAAGCGUGAGUGACGGUAAUUGGUAAAGAAGCACCGGGUAACUACGUG